GUCACGGGCCACCCGCCAGCCCCGCGCUCUACCAGGCAGAGCGCGUGUGGCCGCCGAGCACAUGGACCCACUGGUCAAGCGGGCUCGGCAAGGCCAGGAUGAAGAGAAGCUACGAACUUAGCAUUCCCAGAGCCCCCCGAGUGGAUAUCCGCGUGGAAAGGAUGUUGGCAGCCCCGGUGACCUCGGAGUCACGGCUGGAUCCACCCUCUUGUCUGAUUUUCUUAACUCUACUACGGUAAGAAGAUGCCCUCCAUCAGCAGGCCGUGUCUGCUGGGACCUCUCUGGAGACUUCCUGAACCCUGUGGAUUUACAGUAAGAUGCAGUUUCCUGGGGAGUAAUUCUGGUGGAUACAAAUUCCGGAGUAUUACACCUGGCUUGCCUGGAGAUGUUACAAGUAGCUGGAUGGAUUCUUCAGCCUGGAUGCCCACUGAAAACAAGGACCGAAACUAAGAGGAUUGUAUCUCUACCCUUGACUCAAUGAGAAUGUUUGUUGUCAUCUCUCGGGCUACCUGGAGCUCCCUCUAAAAUUAUACCCUUUAAGCGUUCCAGAAGGAUUUUGAGAUCCUUUCCUAAAUCAAAGGUGGAAUAUUUGGGGAUUUGGAAAAUUGAGGCUUCAGAGAAAUCAGGAGCGGUGAAUGAUCGAAAUGGACCUUUGAGAUUACAGUGUGGAGCUGACAUUGCCAGUUAAGCCUGGGCAGAUCUGACUUAAUUGAUUUAGUUGUUGGAGCAGAGACAACCCAGAGGCUUGGAUCAGCCUCCCCAUCUGACAGUGUGCUGAUGUGAAGCGUUGACUUAAGAGAUGCCAAGUAACUCAGCAGAUGUCACACAGACGAUAAAUAGCAAAGAUGGAAGUCUUCAUGCCGGAGGCAAUCCUAUAAGACAGCUGAGUUCUGCAGAGCUGGUAGGAGACAGACUUGCUCAGGUGAUAGAUCCAGCCAUGAUACUGACCCUAAGAGAAUGAGACGCUCUGCAGAAGACAGAAGAUUCCUGAAACUGGGAAAGGUGCCUAGAAAUCCUGAUAAGAGUGAAGAAGGGUACCUGGAGGCACAGCAGCCAUGUUGAACCUAUGAGGUGAUGAAAAACCAUGCAACUAGAAACCAGAAUGGAAGAAAAGAAGAAGCUGGAUCCUUGACUGAAUUGUCGAUGGGGGAUAGUCCAUCAUCCCAGGGCUAAGACCACCUCCAGAUUUCUUGUUUGGUGAAACAAGUCCUGAUUGUUUACAUUCCCUCGUGUUGAGCUGUCUCUUGCUUGUAGCUGAAAGCAUUUCUAAUAGAUAUUCAGAUUAUCAGCCUUAGCUCCAAGCUAGAAUACUCUAUGGGACCUUAGCUUCUCCAUGAAUUCCUUUGCUCAUCUGUGUAAUGCUCAAUAAAUGUAAAUUGAACCCUGAAUGAGGGACAAUGACACUA
rnacentral:lncRNA from 1 species